AGUCUCCUUGGAAAGGAUACAAAAGCAACAGUUAGCUCUCUCUGAAGCCCACAGUAGUAACACAAGAGACGGGCAGCAGUAAACUUUAAUAACCAACAUGCAAAGCCCAUGAAAAUGUGUAUCAUGUCACUCAGGAAACUGCUUCAUGCACCCUGUACACAUGCACAAGCCCCAUCCCCCAAUGCUAUGGGAGGAAUCCAGUAGGCCCCCAUAAUUUCAUGUCUAAGCUCCUAGCUGGCAGACUUGUGCUCGAUGGUAGACUAGUGCUUAAGAACAGUUUUCAAAGGUGGAGAUAUAACCUUGUUUACAUUACCAUUUAAUUGCAAACCAAAAAUAAGCGACAUUAAAAAAAAAAAAAGUGCUUCACAGUUGGCAACCAGGACUGAUGCAAGACUGUUUUAAACAUUUACUGAGGAGGGUGGACUGUCAGGGCUAAAUAGCUUUUAGCGAUGGAAGUGGCCUCCAUUUCAGCUGGUUUUAGCCUGUGUCCUACCUGUGUGCCAGCCCUUGGUCCUGACCAUUCAGACACCUCUUGCACAGUAUUAUCUUCCCCUGAACCUCUAAGGCUGGUCCCGGGGCUCCUGUCUCCAGCCCUCUCUUGUGAACGUGGUCCACUGAAUUUGGAGGCUGGUGGCCCAAAUUUGAGGCCACUAUGGUCAAAGGGACAUUGGGUAGUUGAGGUCUAAGCUGUGUUCUGCUUCCUGGCAUCUUCUGAGGCAUGCAGCCCUGGGGCAGUUUCCGUUCCCCAUAAAUAACGUGGUUUCCAGGAUCCAUGGACAUUAGGCCUGUAGGUGGAGGGGGAGGGGCUCUGCCUAAGCCAGAAAUGGAAGAGUAGCUAUGUCGCUCCAGUUGGAGCCCCGUGUUACCAAGUUCAUCUGCAGAGCUAACUAACUCGGCUUUGAAAGGAGCAUUCCUCUCUCAGUCUGAUUUCCUGUGAAGAGGAGGAUUACCCAUAACCCUUUGAGGCCCCCUCCCCUAUCCCUCCCCUGUCCCUUCCUUUGUCCUUCCUCCAAGUGUAGUUCUCUCCCCUGGCCUUCUGCCACCCUCUACCUCCCCUGGUCCACUUCCUCCCUGCCUCUCUUUGCUUUUCUCCCCUCUGCUGACAAAACUCCCUGAGUAGCAUCUUCCUUAUGCAGGACAGAGAAGGGAAUGUUCAGAAGUUUCCAAGGUGGGGUGAGGGGACCUGACAUUUCCUUCUCAGAAGAAACUUCCUUUAUUUCAUGGUAGGUAAUCUUAUCGCCAUCUGCUUUCUCUCCACCCCCCACCCGCCGUGGGUAAUGGCCUGACCACAAACCUAAGAGCCGUACUUCUGCCUUUCUUACACAUGUCAGAGACACACCAAGGGCCCCUAUGUGGGGACUGAGUUGACCACAUUGGUUGACACAGAGGCCAGCCAGGACCCCUGGGCUAGGCAGAGUAACAGCCACUGGCUCAAGGGCUCUCCAGUCAGGAUUUCCCAGAAUUCUCCAAAUCGAGCUGGCUUCGCACUGUCCCUGGGGCCCACAGUUCUAACUCUAGCUAAUCACCUCUGGUAUCUUUUGAGCAUCUCCUUAAGAACUCAGGUGCCUGUCCCCCAACCUGUGCCACGUAGACACCUACCUAACCUAGAUCUGUAGCAGAGUCAGGUUGAAAACCUUUCCAGAGACACUGAUGUGUGACCAGCCUAGGGCACCACCGGGCCAUGAGAUUUCUUUGCCACCCACUCCCACAAGAUUUAGUAUGUCUCAUCUGUUGGGGGACAUGUCCUCUCUUUAGAUGACAGACCAGAGAGGAUGUCCACUCGCAAAGUUCAUUCUGAGGCCGGUACCAACCAUGUUACUUACCCUCAGACCUACUGACUCACUCUAUCUGUCUUAAGCCCCUAGGCAAAAUGGUCAUUACCUCUGUGGACCAUUAAGGGUUAAAUGAGAUAAGACAAUCCAAGCUCUUAGCCUGAUGUAUAGCAAACAGCAGUGCUUAAUAGAUGCCACUUGUCACUACUGUCCCCCAGGCCUUGGAGUCUGGGAAGGGACAUUAUCUGAAGGCUGCUACCUGCUUAGUAUCUGUGAGCAGGUUCGAGGAGGCCCCCAAGCCCCUUGGUCGCUAGAGGGAUUCUUCUACUGAAAGUGAAAGUCCCACCCAGGACUGGGCUGGAUGCCACUUCCUCCUGGGCACCGUGCCACUCCCUCCUCACCAGCGAGUGUUCCACACACUCUUGAAUCAGCACAGAGAAGGAAUCUUGACCCAGAAUGCUUUGCUCAAGGGGGCUGCUUGGGCUCGGAGCCCAGAUGAACACUUCACCCCUUUCAUGCCUAAGAGAAGCUCCCGAGAGAGUUCCAUGUAAGGAAGAGCUGGGGGUGAAUUUCAAACCACCGGCCUUACCGGUGGAUGGACACCAAAGCAGAAACAAACACCACCACAAGGCACUGCCCACGGUAACAUGCCAAGAACCGAUGGAGCCGUCUGAACUCCAGACCCAGCCCUGGGUUGUCCAAGGCCCACUCUGUUAACCAUGGAAACCAUAGGAAAUUUGCAUUCCGUAAGAUUUUAAGAGUUGAUGAAAUUCAACCAUACUCCAUAGUCACUUCAAGAAAGUGAACUCUGAGGACAGAAGGCUCUUUGGGGACUUGCUUUAAGGCUGAACCUGGGAAGAAGGGGCUAUCAUUAGCUGCCAGUAUAACGGUGAGUAAUGAGUACUUCAAACAUGUUUUAGAGGACCCAAGAAUGUAGAUUGAUGUCUGUAUGCAGGAGAGGGCAGGCACAAGAUGAGGCAAGGCCUGUGACUGGGCAGUGAAAAAGUAAGGCAGGUGCAGAGUUUUGGAGAGAGGAGAGAGAGGAGGGAGAGAGGAACCAAGACAGAGACCCAGAUCUGUGUGGCCUUAAAUGGCCACAGGUAGCUAUGAAUAUCUUAUAAGAGAGGGAUGAUUCCAGGACAAUUUGUCUUAUCUAGGUGGGCAGUUUAUAUCAAUAUCUAUUGGCUCUGAGUUUAUUGUGUGGAUGUUUUGUGGGGUGAGGAUUUACUGAUAUAAAUCUGACCGAUAAAUUACAAGCUUCCAGAGUUUUGACUACCAGGAGACUGGGAAUUGUGACAAUGACUACAGGGGCGGAUGCUGGGAUGUGAGCAGAGUUUGCAGCAGAGAGUCACAAGAGGGCAGCCGCUGCUGGGGCCAGAAAGUAGCCUGCGCCAAUGUGAGGCUAGCCAUAGAGGCAGAGAGAUCGUUGGGGACAGAGAGUAGCAGGACGUAGCAUGGCAUGGUGCCCCGCGUCAUAUUUUUAUUACUUAGCACAACACAAGAACAGUUUGGGCUCAUCAGCGUCCCAGGUCUCAGGACGGUUCCUUUAAUGGGCUAGCAGGACCAUGGGUGUUAACCAACGCCACAGAUAAGAAGACAAUCUUAGCUGAGAGAGAACUCUACGUGAAUUACAUGUACCUCUAGGAACUAGUAACAGCAACAAACAAACAAACAAACAAACAAACAAAACCUGGACCAUUUUUAUUUUCCAUUCAAUCUGGAAGGCCCAAGAUCAAGUUCCGUCAAAUGCCCACACCAUGGAGCAUUCUGGACUUAGCUCCACAAAGAUACCAGCGUGUGCUAAAAAUAACCGCCUAUUGUCUUACCUCUGACACUGCAGAGGCCUGUGACACUUACCCGAAGGAAACCAGAGAGACAGACGGACAUCCAGUUUGUAAGGAGUUUCUCCACCACAGACUCCGUGCGCCUCAGCAUGAGCUUGGGCUGCAUAUUACUGCACUGCUCCAUCAGGUCUCUGGUCAGCACCUCCAGGAUGCUGGUCAAGUAGACCAGCUUGGUUUGCAGAGCGAUGGUUAGGAAGGACGCAAAGAGACACCUGUUUAAAAAUAGAGCCAGGUGAGCUGUUAGCCCCGGACUCAGCUGGACAUAACCAGUUUCCAUGGAAUCUUGCUAGCAGCAAGGGGAUUGUCUCCUGAGGAGCUAAUUCUCUAUUGUUCAGGUCCCAAUCACUUCUAUCCUGUGUCAUAAGAUUGCACACUGGGCAUAAGCACCGUCAUAUCUCAUUGGUAAACGGCUUGCCUAGGGCAUGGAGCCCUGGUUUUGAUCCCUAAAAGGGUGUGCAUUGGCUGUGGUGGUGGCAAAUGCUUGUCACCCUUCAGCAGCCUGGAGGAAGAGGCAAGAAAGUGCAUCAGGAAUUCAAGAUCAUCUUCUGCUACAGCAGGAGUUUUAGGCCAGCCUGCCGGGUACACGAAACAACAAACAAACAAGCCAAACGAGUCAAUUUCAAUUUCAGUCACUUUUUUUUUUUAAGCAACAAGAAGUGAGUUUCUUUUCCAAAAAUUUAGGGUAUUUCUUUAAAAUUAAAAUUUAAAAAUAACACUUCUGCUUUUUUUCAGUUAAGAAUUUUCCCUUUAGGCAUUGGGGUUUUCUCAGGGUUUUACUGGGUGAUGUGUGUAUGUGUGCCUUCAAGCCAGAACUGGGGUCAUGUUCAUGUGAUCUGAGCUGCAGAGAGCAUGGCUGUGCACGCACCCCGUCAACACCACUGGGACAGGGUAUGCCCAGGGUCAGGUAGUGGUUUGGAAGGGAGGAGCUUGAGAGCUGGAGCUCAGUGUGAAGCACUUGUUCAGCAUCCACAAGCCCCUGAGUUCGAUACCCAGCCCUUCAAACACUAAAGCAAUAUGGUAGUAAUGCCAAGGAAUGGUUCUUGUCCUGCUUGCAGACAGGGGCCAAGCAUGGUGUCCUCUGAGAGGCUCCACCCAGCAGCUGAUUGAAACAGAUGAAGAGACCCACAGCCAAACAUCCAGCGGGGCUUGGGGAAUCUUGUGGAAGAGUCCAGGGAAGGAUUCAGGAACCUGGAGGGGAUAGGAACUCCACAAGAAUACCAACAGCCAACUAACCUGGACCUUUGGGGGUUUCUAGAGACUGAAUUACCAACCAAAGAGCCAGACCUAGGCCCCCUGUACAUAUGCAGCAGAUGUGCAGCUUGGUCUUCAUGAGGGUCCCCCAAUGACUGUAGCGGGGGCUGUCCCUGAGUCUAUUGCCUACCUGUGGAUCCUGUUCCCCUAACUGGGCUGUCUCGUCUGGCUUUAGAGGGAGAGGAUGUGCCAAGUCCCCUAAUGAAAUGAUGUGCCAGGGUGGGUUGGUACCCAGGGAGGGGCCUCCCUCUUCUCAGAGUAGGAGGAGAAGAAGAUGGGGGAGGACUGUAAGAGGUGGGGAUUGGAAGGAGGAAGAGGGUUGUGAUCGGGAUGUAAAGUGAAUAAAUAAAUAAAUAAAUAAAUAAAUAAAUAGGAAAAAACAAAGCUAAAA